rnacentral:lncRNA from 1 species
AAUACGAAGUUCCUCCGUUCACUCGGACAGAGUCUCCUUUGUAUUUGCACGGCGUACCAACUGUACAACAAGAUCUCAACCACAACUUACAUUUAUCAAUUAACAACCAAUUCAUGAUAUGCAUUUCCAUACAGCUAUCGAUCCUUAGAGAUGAUGCGUGUCUCUAAGCACUCCUUAAGCGCUGGAUGAUGUAAUGCACAAUACAACAAUCAUCUUAUUUAAAAGUGCUCCCCAUCCGGAAGCUUUCUUUUUAAAAUCUAAUUCAAUCAUUCACAAAACUAAUUCGAAAACCUUUUUAAAACUGUUUCCCACAUAAAAACUCUAUUUUGAAAACCAGCUACCUCGAGGGCUAGAAAACCACAAGUAUAAAUACAACAACCGAGAAUCCAUAAAACCAGAACUACAGAUCCAUCAUUAUCCAUUCACAUGCAUGAAUAACGAAAAUAUCCACAAAACCAAUCCACGAACAGACAAACAAUCAUAGAGAUUAUCUAACUGAACCAUUUAUUAAUAAAGACUACUAAAUGCAUAAAUAACAAUAACCCGGGUGAUGGUCGCUACU